rnacentral:lncRNA from 1 species
CAACGGCCCAGAUUAAGAGAUCAAUUUUAAUAUACCAAAACCCACCCCAGACCCUCAAAUUCGGAUUCAUUCACACACCUCUUCACCAGUCGUCUCUCGUAGAGAACCAAACGACCCUGAAACCCUAGCGCCUCCCUCAUUUUCCUUCACCAUAAAACCGGCGAUCGGUGGUCCAACAGCCACCCAAAUAACACCCUUGAACCUCCAAACCAUCCUCUUUCCAAAUCCCUACCCCUUAUCCUUCGAAUCAUCCCCAAUAUUCUCGAAUUUUCAAUCAAAAGAUUCGAGCCAAACCCUUCCUUGCCCGAUCCACCCAAAAAUCACACCCUGAGCCCUCCCUGACUCUCUUACCUCAAAUCCUUGGUGGGUUUCCCUCAAAUGUUGGCAUAGAUCCUCAGAUCUCAAAUCCAAGAACGAACCCUAAAAUGCCUAAACUCUCAAUUCGUUCGAAUGGGGAAGAUUUUUGACCGAAUUAGACCUUAGUCCUAUGUUUUCAUACUGAAAACAUAGGAUUAAGGUCCACUCCGGCCAAAAGAAUUGGAGACUUCUUGGAUUUGUUCAAAUAUGGCCAGUUCUCCGGGUAUUUCUUCUUUCCGUAUUUUUGUUUUUGUUAUUGUUUCUUUUAGUUCCUUUAUGUUUUAGUUUAGUCGUUUGAAUCCUCGUCUUUUAUCUGUUCUUCUUCUCGUUCUUCAUUUCUACCCGUGUGAAUUAAACAUGUUCAUAUGAGAUCAGUUCAUCACAAUGUUGAAUUUGCUUAGUUUGAUUUAAUUUUGUCAAAUGUUUGAAAUGCUUAAAUGAGUCACUAUUGAAUCAAACUGCCUAGCCAUUAAAGUGUCAAGAAUUGAUUAUUACCUUUGGUGUCAAUUUGUACCAUAUAUUGAUCGAUUUGGGAGUUUGCUUAAGGGAUGAAUUUGAUUUAAUUCACUACCUUAAACUGUUAAAUUUUAAUGGAAGCCAUGUGAUUAUUCAGGUUGUCCGCAUGCCGUAGUGAAACAUUUAAUUCAUUUUUCUAUCUGUUAUUUGAAUCCAUGUCAGCUACAUUUGAGUGGAAACAGGAUGGACUGUCAGGCACACCUGAUUCAACCUGCCCAUAUUUGUUUAGUUUAAUGAAAAGAAAAUACCUUAAUAAUAAAAGAAUGGGCUGUCAGGGGAAUCUCAAGGGGCAUACAUUUCUGAGUGGGAAAACAGAGAGAAUAACAUGAGGAUAAUCAGCUUUUAGUUAGUUAAGUGUAAAAAAAUAGGCUGAAAGUGGAUAGAGGAAGGAAUAAAGGAAUCUGAUCAGUUUUUAAAUAGGAACAUGUUGUAAAGAGAUUUGGAGUUUGGCUAUAAAUAGGAGGAUUGAACAUUGAAUUAGGGACAGAUUUUAAGCAUCAAAAUUGAGUUUAAGAGUAAACAAGACUGGGUUUUUUAACAUCAGAAGUUCAGAGAGUUUAGGAGAGCAAGUUUUCAGAAAGCAUCAGUAUUUUCUAGAAGCUUGAAGAUUAUUGACUGUUUGAUUGAAGCUUUCCUUCUGUUUCCCUACUUUCACUUUUCUGAUUCAAGUUCUUUGGAUUGAUUUGAGUGAUUUUGAGGUCAGUUGAGUCUAUGUGAUUUUGAGGUCUGUUGAGUCUAUUGUUGAUUGAACCUUAGUUUGUUGAAACCUUAAGAGUUUCUGGGUGCAUCUUCUUUUCUUGUUUGGUUUUGGUAUUGUUGGAAUCAUCCCUGUUGGUGUUCAAAUAUGUUACUGGGUUGUUGCUAGUUUUGUUGCUUUUGUUAUUGUUGAAUGUGUUAAUGUGUUAAGUGCUGCUGCCAUUACUGAUCUUCAUCUCCUUCCUUGCUUUUUCCCAAAUUUCAGGUACACACAAUUGAUAUAUUGGUUCAAUGUAGCUAAAACUUGAAGCAUGAAUAAAAGGAUAUGAAGAAUUGGAAUUGGAACUUAUUGUAGUUUUCUUCUCUGUUUUUGUUGGUUGUAGUUUAAGACAUUCUGUAUACUUGGUAUGUAAACUUUGCCAUCAAACUGCAUAACUGGACAGUAAUUACCCUAUAGUGGUUUAGUUAGUUAAAUUUCUUAUGUAUGCUAUUAGAAAAGAAUUAAUGAUGUAGUAGUAUACUGCCAUCAAACGUCCCAUAUAGGCUUAAUCGAAAAGUGAUAAUGUAGCAACCAUGUUCAUUUACCUCAGAUUGCUCAUUGGGUAGUAUAUGGAUCAAAAAGCAUUCUGGUUGUUAAUUUAGUCUAUCUCAUUUGAUGAGUGGGCCAUCCGAAACUUGUAGCAACAUUGUUUAAAUUAGGUAGUGUUAAUUUUACCUUUUUCAGCCUUAUAAGUGUUAAAUAGGUGUAGAGUAAAUCGACUGAGCCCCCAUUAGAAUAAUGCCGGCCCAGGUCUAGUUUAUGCCGUAUACAAGGGUCCUGGGCCCAUAAUUGUCAAAUAGACUCCAUAUACAUGUCUCUUUUUCAGAUUUAACAAAUCACGUUCGGAACUCAACUAUAACAACUCGUGAGCAUGUAAAUAAGUUAGGAACUCUUUUUCUCUCAUUCUUUAGAGACGGACGGAAAAAUAGAAGAACAUAGUCACUUUAAGAUAUCCUUUAAAAUAAAAUGAUGUGUGCCUCACCG